rnacentral:rRNA from 1 species
AGAAUCAACGCUGGCGGCGUGCCUAACACAUGCAAGUCGAACGAGAAAGGGGAGCAAUCCCUGAGUAGUAGUGGCGCACGGGUGGGUAACACGUGAAUAAUCUACCUCCGAGUGGGGAAUAACUGAGAGAAAUCUUAGCUAAUACCGCAUAACACUUACGAGUCAAAGCAGCAAUGCGCUUGGAGAGGAGUUCGCGGCCGAUUAGUUAGUUGGCGGGGUAAUGGCCCACCAAGACGAUGAUCGGUA